rnacentral:rRNA from 1 species
AGUGGCGCACGGGUGCGUAACGCGUGGGAAUCUGCCCUUAGGUACGGAAUAACUCAGAGAAAUUUGUGCUAAUACCGUAUGAUGUCGUAAGACCAAAGAUCUAUCGCCUAAGGAUGAGCCCGCGUAAGAUUAGCUUGUUGGUGAGGUAAAAGCUCACCAAGGCGACAAUCUUUAGCUGGUCUGAGAGGAUGAUCAGCCACACUGGGACUGAGACUCGGCCCAGACUCCUACGGGAGGCAGCAGUGGGGAAUAUUGGACAAUGGGCGAAAGCCUGAUCCAGCAAUGCCGCGUAAGUGAUGAAGGCCUUAGGGUUGUAAAGCUCUUUUACCAGGGAUGAUAAUGACAGUACCUGGAGAAUAAGCUCCGGCUAACUCCGUGCCAGCAGCCGCGGUAAUACGGAGGGAGCUAGCGUUGUUCGGAAUUACUGGGCGUAAAGCGUACGUAGGCGGUUAUUCAAGUCAGAGGUGAAAGCCUGGAGCUCAACUCCAGAACUGCCUUUGAAACUAGAUAGCUAGAAUCUUGGAGAGGUGAGUGGAAUUCCGAGUGUAGAGGUGAAAUUCGUAGAUAUUCGGAAGAACACCAGUGGCGAAGGCGACUCACUGGACAAGUAUUGACGCUGAGGUACGAAAGCGUGGGGAGCAAACAGGAUUAGAUACCCUGGUAGUCCACGCCGUAAACGAUGAUAACUAGCUGUUCGGGC